rnacentral:rRNA from 1 species
GAAACGACUGCUAAGACUGGAUAGGAGACAAGAAGGCAUCUUUUUGUUUUUAAAAGNCCUAGCAAUAGGUAUGCUUAGGGAGGAGCUUGCGUCACAUUAGUUAGUUGGUGGGGUAAAGGCUUACCAAGACUAUGAUGUNUAGCCGGGCUGAGAGGUUGAACGGCCACNUUGGGACUGAGACACGGCCCAAACUCCUACGGGAGGCAGCAGUAGGGAAUUUUCGGCAAUGGAGGAAACUCUGACCGAGCAACGCCGCGUGAACGAUGAAGUAUUUCGGUACGUAAAGUUCUUUUAUUAGGGAAGAAUAAAUGAUGGAAAAAUCAUUCUGACGGUACCUAAUGAAUAAGCCCCGGCUAACUAUGUGCCAGCAGCCGCGGUAAUACAUAGGGGGCAAGCGUUAUCCGGAAUUAUUGGGCGUAAAGGGUGCGUAGGCGGUUAAAUAAGUUUAUGGUCUAAGUGCAAUGCUUAACAUUGUGAUGCUAUAAAAACUGUUUAGCUAGAGUAAGAUAGAGGCAAGUGGAAUUCCAUGUGUAGUGGUAAAAUGCGUAAAUAUAUGGAGGAACACCAGUAGCGAAGGCGGCUUGCUGGGUCUUUACUGACGCUGAGGCACGAAAGCGUGGGGAGCAAACAGGAUUAGAUACCCUGGUAGUCCACGCCGUAAACGAUGAGUACUAAAUGUUGGGUAAAACCAGUGUUGAAGUUAACACAUUAAGUACUCCGCCUGAGUAGUACGUACGCAAGUAUGAAACUUAAAGGAAUUGACGGGACUCCGCACAAGCGGUGGAUCAUGUUGUUUAAUUCGAAGGUACCCGAAAAACCUCACCAGGUCUUGACAUGCUUCUGCAAAGCUGUAGAAACACAGUGGAGGUUAUCAGUUGCACAGGUGGUGCAUGGUUGUCGUCAGCUCGUGUCGUGAGAUGUUGGGUUAAGUCCCGCAACGAGCGCAACCCUUAUUGUUAGUUGCCAGCACGUAAUGGUGGGGACUUUAGCAAGACUGCCAGUGAUAAAUUGGAGGAAGGUGGGGACGACGUCAAAUCAUCAUGCCCCUUAUGACCUGGGCUACAAACGUGAUACAAUGGCUGUUACAAAGGGUAGCUGAAACGCAAGUUUUUGGCGAAUCUCAAAAAAACAGUCUCAGUUCGGAUUGAAGUCUGCAACUCGACUUCAUGAAGUUGGAAUCGCUAGUAAUCGCGAAUCAGCAUGUCGCGGUGAAUACGUUCUCGGGGUUUGUACACACCGCCCGUCA